UCUCACAAAGCUAAAAAUUAUUAAACUUUUUCUUUUUUCGUGCUUGGCAGAAGCAACGUAGAAUGCUCGUUCAAUACAAUUGACGUAAAUGAAAAAUUCAUAGGGAAAUACGUUCCGUGGGAAAUACGAAGGUCAAUUCGUCAGAAAAUGGGAAGCGGCGGAUUUUCAGGAAAUUAAGGAUAUAUCAAGAGAUUAAGAAAUUAUCUGUUCACCACGCAUAAUCAAAGUGAGAGGAUAAAUAAGUCUGUUGGUCCUAAUAAAUUCGAGGAAAGCAGUUUCCGAUAAUAUUGAAUAUUAUCGAUAUAGUAAGUUUACGGAUGGUCUAGAUAUUAAAAGGGUUGUUGCACUGAAGGAAGUUAUAUAUAGGAAUCCUCAAAAUAGUCUAGAUAUUUUAAAGAUCAUGUUAUAAACUAAGCCAAUCGAGACCCAACUACGCGAUGCUGCAAGUUGAAAUAUUCAACUGAUGCGCAAGUUGAGAUAUUCAACUGGUGAAAAUCUCUUGCCUAUCCACAUCAAAUAUUUUGUAUUUGAAGCUAAUGAAUAAUCAAGUCAAUUCCCAAUGGAUAAAAUGACACGGUGUGAACUAAAAAAUGGUUAAAGAGUGCGAAUGAAAAGCAACGACUAACUGCCAACUAUUUUGUUAUCCAGCGGGCAUAAUAAAAUAAGGGAGCUCUAUGGAGCCAUAACAAGCAUAAAAUAACUUGUGGCAGCUGCUGUGGACAACAGUUACCUUUAGCACAGACAAAUUAAAAGUCAAUAUAUGCAGUGAACACACACAGAGAAGAGUGUGCACAGCCAACAAAAUUUAUUGUUUCAAGCUGGUUGGAAAUUGUUAGAAAAUUGGUUUUGGUUUGGCAGGCUUCAUAGCUUUAAUUGAUUUAUACUCGAGAGAGUUCUCAGUUGAGAGUGAUUGAC